AAACCAAAUUGAAGACGUUUCCUUGUAUUCCUAUUUUUGGAAAUUUUUAUCGUGAGUGGGUGUUGAAUUUUGUCAAAAGCAUUUUCUUUACAUAUUGAUGUAAUCAUGAUUUUUCUUUUCUAGUCUGUUAAUACAGUAGGUAACGCUGAUUUUUGAAUGCUGAACCAGUCUUGUAUUCCUGAAAUUAAGCCCACUUGGUCAUGUAUGUAAUUCUUUUAUAUACUGCUGACUUUGAUUUGCUAAUUUUGUCAAGAAUUUUUGCGUAUAUUCAUGAAGUACGUUCAUUGAUUUGUAGUUAUUAUUAUUAUUUUUCAUAUUGUCUUUGUCUGGUUUUGGUGUCCAGGUAAUACGAGUGUCAUAAAGUGAAUUGAGUCAAAUCAUUUUGUUGUACACCAAAACAAUGGUAUAUGUCAGGUACAUAUCAAACUUAGGAAGUUAAAAUUGAAAAAUACCAAAAAAAUGAAUUGGGAAGUAUACCCUCCUUUUCUGUUUUUUGGAAGAUAUUGUAUGUAGAAUUGUUGUUAACUCUUCUUUAAGUGUUUGGUAGAAUUCUCCAGUAAAGUCAUCUGGACCUGUAGAUUUGGGAGGGGUGUUAACUAUAAGUUUAAUUUCUUUAACAGCUGUAGGGACACUAAGAAUAAUUAAUGUUAGAUGAGUUGUGGUAGUUUUUGUUUUUCAAGGAAUUGGUCCAUCUAAUCCAAGUUGUCAAGUUCAUAUGUGUGGAGUUGUUUGUAAUUGCUGUCAUCUGAAUGUUUGCAUAUCCCCCCAAAUCAUAUGUUGAAACCCUAAUGCCCAAUGGAAUGGCAUUGAGAGGUGGUGUCUUUGGGAGGCGAUUGGGUUGUGACAGAAAAGGUUUCAUGAAUGAGGAUAGUACCCAGAUAAGAAGCUCUAGAAGCAUCCACUGCCCUCUUCCACCAUGUGAGGACACUGCCAGGACCUCCCAGCCUCCACAACUAUGUUGCAUCUCUGGCCAGCUGACUUCAUUUGCUCCAAGUCUGGGACAUCUGAAACGUCAAAGAAAAUCCAGGCAACUGGGCCACUGUGUUGUUGCUCAGAUCCCUGGCUGCGGUUUUCAUAAACAAUGCAUUGGCCUACACCAAGGAUUAUUAGGUGUUUCACAGCACAGGUGUGAGACUUCUUGACAUCUCCAGUGUUAGUCAUCAUUGACUCAGUGAUCCUUGUGCAAUGGCCUCCAUAUUUUUUGGGUUCCACUCAUUCUUUGCAGUCCUGUGCUUAGAGAAGAGAUAAAUCCUGGUAAGACCCUUUCUCCUAGCCAGUGAUCGGUUUAGAGAUGUGACUAUCAACCAGUUUGGCCAAGGAAACAUGGGAAAUAUGCUGGAGGAACUUCUGGGAAGAUUUUCCCUGCUUUCAAAAACGACACAGGAGGGAGGGAAUCAUCUGUUCUUCUGAACAUUGUGACUGAAUGUGACCCUUGAACUACUCAUGGAUAAGCAGAAGAUGGAAAGGACAGACCUGAUGACAAUACUGAGCUGCUGAAUUUGGAAUGAAAUUGGGGGCUGCCCUACACCCAGACUUGUUGGUGAGAUGUUACAUCUCCCUCUGUUAAGGCCUUUUGGGUCAAGAUUCUUUAUUACUUGCAACUGAAAAGGUCCUGUUAAAAUAGUAUUAUAUUACAGCAGCCUUGGCUUACGUAACAUCUUCUGCUUAGAUGACAUAUAUAAGAUUUGUGCUCCUAACUUGGGUGAUUCUCUCUUAUUAAGCAUGAUGCACUAAUCACGAAGGAUUAAAGAAAAAAAGGAUAAGAUAGAAAUUGCUUUGUAGCUUUGGAAAACUAUCAGGACUUUCCAUCCUAUUGAAAGCAGGCUUCUAAGGAUGAGUUGCUCUUGUUUCCAAAUGAUGUGUGGUGGUGAGAGGGAGAAAUGACAGUGAUGGUGUCACACAGGGUGUCAUACAGGAUGAUGGUGCUUCUACAAAGCCUGGACGAUGAGGCUGGAGAACUGGGGUUCUGUGGAAUCAUGCUAUUGCUGCAGAAGGUCAAAGAGGCCAGAAAAAUGUUCAAGGGCAUAUAUGCGAUAAGAGCCUGGGCUCCAUCCUGCUGUGGGCUCUUCUAGGCUGCCUGCUCCUUUGGUGCCUGUGUGUUCUCCAUCUUCUCUGUGGAAGCCCCGUGCUCUGAAAGCAGCUUCCAGUAGCUGGAGUGGAAGAAUGAAGGAUGCCGAGGGCUGGGCCUGGCACCUGCAGAAUUCAGAGGAGCCACCCAACCUGGGGAGAUCGGCACCUUCCACGUCUGAAUGAAGUUCGGUCAGCUCAGGAAACAAGCGCCAGGAGGGGGGGGGAGAGGCUAAUUUCUAAGAGGAACCCAAACAUGCAGGGGAUCCUCUGAAUGUCCACAAAAACUCCCCAUCUGUGCCCUCUACGUGUCUCUGAUCAUUUGUGACAGGCACUGUGGGUCAUUUCUUAGGCAUUGGUCUUCUCCCCUCCACUAGAGUACAAAGCCUUCAGGAGAUCAGCAGUUAAAGAACCCAGAGAAUGUUUUUGUUCUGUGCAAUAGAUCUGAUCGGAACCCUCCACCUACUAGCUGUGUGAUAUCGGGCAAAUUACUUAAACUUUCUGAGCCUUAGUCUUCUCGUUUGCUAAAUGGGAACAUAAAUCGUGCCUCCCUGGUGAGACUGUUUUCAGGAUUAAAUGAAAUAGUGCAGAUAAAGUGUUUACAAGCAGUUGCUGAAUGAAUGAUCUCCUCCUCAUCUGAGAACAAACACCUUCAUGUUCUCUUGUGUCUUAGGCAGGGGGACUUAGGGCAUUUUUGUUUUUCGGCAUUAAGAGGGCAUUCUCACACAGAGAGAAAUGCAUGAAGGCGAGAAGCCUUCCCAAAGAAGAACGUUUUGUGGAAGAAUAAAUGUAAUGUCGAGUGUCAGAAUAACUUGAAAGUAAACAUAAUA